rnacentral:rRNA from 1 species
GAUGAACGCUGGCGACGUGGAUAAGGCAUGCAAGUCGCGUGGGUUUAGACCCACGGCAAACGGGUUAGUAAUGCAUAGGAACGUACCCUCGAGUCUCGAAUAAUCCUUCGAAAGGAGGAAUAAUGCGAGAUAGUUCUCUUCGGAGUAAAGCCCCGACGCAAGUUGGAGCGCUUGAGGAGCGGCCUGUGUCCUAUCAGCUUGUUGGUGAGGUAAAGGCUCACCAAGGCUAUGACGGGUAGGGGAUGUGAGAGCAUGAUCCCCAACAUUGGAACUGAGACACUGUCCAAACACCUACGGGUGGCAG